GAAAAUCAAUUAGUAACUACCGCAGAAGAGAAAGUGACAUGAGGAUUGCAUAUUGCAUAAGUCCAAUCCGUAUUUUCCUCUUAAUAUUUAUUCUUGCUCCACCAUAUUUUAAUUCUCUCAUCUUUAUUUCUUUGUUAUUUUUUUUUUCUCUUAUCUUGAAUUGUUCUCAUCCACACAUUUAAAUUAUUUUUACUUUCCCAAUGCCUUGACUUUUCUUUCCCAAUGGCUACAUGAUCAAACGUUCUAUUCUUUAUUCUCAUCCUCACAAAUCUCUUCCUCUCACUCCAUCUCAGCCUCUUCAUUCUCUUGCUCACAAAUUAGUUUCAGUCACAUAAACAGUAAAAAUGCAAGAUUUUUCUUACAUAUUGCAUCGUCAUCAUGCUCUUUUCUUUUUCUUUUCUCUUUUUUUUUUUUCAAAAGAAGCAUUCAUCUCAACGUUUUGAUAGAUCUCAUGGUGGUUGAGGCUUCAACAAUAAUGAUAAGGUGCUAUGAGCCUGUAAAAUACUACUUCACAGGCUAAUAGCAUAAGGUGCUAUGAGCUGGUAGAGGAAGGCAGGGAAGAGAUGCAGAGCAUCGUGAAAGAUGCGAUGCUUUGCUAUUGGUUUGCCGCGGGUCUGAUCAAGGAGGAGCUGAUAGAGAAAGGCGGGGAAGAGAUAGCAGAGAAUCGUGAAAGGCGAAAGGCAGACCAUCGGGUUUUAGAAAACUUUUAUUAUGUUUUUUUUUGUUUUAUGAUUUUUUUUUAAAAUAAUUUGCUGAUGUGGAAAUUUGUGGGAGCUUGAAAAGCUUCGGUUUUAUAUGUAUAUAUAGAUUAUGUUUAAAAUUUAAUACUA